UUCCACGGGGCGGUGGUGGAGCUUUUAAGCGGAAGGUUGCCUCGUGUUGCAAAUCCCACUUCGCUGCUUCCUUCGUCCUCUGAGCUCAGCUCCAAGUUUCACCAAGAACCCCUCCAGCCUGUCAGCUGGCAGCCAGGCUGCUCCGCCUCCAAGCAGCUCCGUGUGACUUCCACCAUCCGCUUGGCCCGUCCUCCUGUCACUCAGCUGCUUGCUCUGCCGGCCUGUCAUGGCAUCGCCACCAGCCACUCACCCUCCCUGCACCACUCUCUGCCACCUCCCUGACGGUUCUCUCUCCUUGAGUGCUCUCUGCGUUCCGAGUCCUGCGAAGAGGCCCGACCGGCUCAAACCUCGGUCUUUGUCAUCCCUUUCCCUCGCCCUUUAAAUAAACCAUGUGAAAUCU